UUGUUGACACAUUUUAGCCAAUUGGAGCUUCACAUUUGGAGGUUAGAGGCACUUGAACUUGUUUCCUCGUACGUUGGAGGUUCAUGUGGUAGACAAUGACUUUGGAAUCGGUGGAAGGACAACAUGUGCUGGGGGAUUUGCAACUGGUUGACUUGGAUUUAUAAGUGAAGGAAAUUCGUGUUUUACUAAACAAAAGGUUCAAGAAGUCAAUAGAGUCAAUGAUGAUUCCAAUUUUUCUUGUUUUAGCAUUUUUCGUGUGGAAAAUCUACAUUUUUCAGUUGUGCAGGGAAUUUUCAUGACAUUUGGAUUAAAAAAUUAAUAAAUGUUGAUGUUCUUUAUUGUAACAACUUAUUCUUUUCAAUGUUUCUGUAAAAAUUCUUGUACAUUGGUUUUUCAAUUUAUUUUCUCGUUCAAAUUUUGAAACGAGGAACAAAAUUCAUUCGAAAAUAACAGAUUCAUGAAGAUUUUCUUCAGAUCGAAAAUUUGGUAACUGAGAAAUUAAUUACAUCAAGUGCCAUGAAAAAAUGAUUCCAAUAAAUCAAGACGAAAAAAUUCAGAAUGAUUUUUUUAUUUGUCAUCACAAAUAGGAAAAAAAACGUCAAUUUCAUAUUCUACAAUUUUUAUCCAAACUAAUCCCUCUUCCCCUCUUUCAGCUGACAAGAAUCAAUUCACUUCUACUCCAUAACUUAAAGAUCUUCGAUUAUAUAAUUUCAUGAUGAAAUAUCCUAACAUCUAGAUGAAAAAAUUCAAUCUCCUCUUCUCCAAUAAUACAUCGACCCCCAGAUUCUCAAAUCGAAAAUUACGAGAAGUAUGAACACCGGACAUUGAAAAUUAAUGAACAAUGGUGAUUAGACACGAACACCAAGAAAAAGCAAUCAUUCUGCCAAUGGAACAUCAGUUUGGAGGAGGUACCCUAGUCGUUAUAAUUGCAAUUCAUCACAGAAUAUUUAUUCCCCGCCAUUUUAAUGGACUUAUCGACAAUUACAGACCCCUGGAACUGUCGAAAAUUAAUUAGAGGACAAAAUCCCAGGAAUGUUCCUUCAAAUUAAUGCUCAUUUGGCACAAAUAAUUUUUUUUUCUGGCGCACAACGGAAUGAAAACGAGAACAAAAAUCCCAUUGUUUGGGAAUUUGAAAUAUCAUUCAUUUUAUACAAAAGUAGGAAGCAAGAUAGUCUCUCCAUUGAUCACUCUUGAAAAUGAAAAAUUUAACUAAUUACGAUUAACAAGACUGAUGAAAAUAGUAAUUUAUAAAAAAAAAAAAAUGGCAUUGACGAAUAACUAAUCACUUGACAUUCACACUGAAUACAUCUGUAUAUUUUUUUUUGUUCGAUAAUAAUUAUCUUGCGUCGUGCAUAGUACUCUCUCAACGAUAUCAGACAUUAAAUUCAUCAGUUACUCGUGGAUAAUUGGGUGAUAGGCCUGUACAAUGAUCUUUCAUGCUGCUGUUGAUCAAUCAAUUGAUUGUUUUCGAGGCUCGAUGAUUAAUUCAAGCGAUGAAUCACUUCAAACACAAUGAUAAUUAAUUAUC